AUUUGACGACACUUCCUUUUUCCGGUCUCUUUUGACCGCGAGGUGUCUUCGUACGGCGUAUAUUCACGUGCUCUUCCACUAAACUCAUAACACAUAAGAUGUCCGGAUGUGCUGCAGAUCGAGGAGGAGGAUGUGCUGGAGUUCUUUGCAGCAGGAACCAGCCUGUACUUCCAGGUAGAGCAGUGUCUGCAAGAGGAAGACUGACUGUGUGUACAUUAUUAACGUGAGUGACCUGGUAGCAGCCAAGGCCAUUGUUGCCAUUGAGAAUCCAGGCGAUGUUGGUGUAUCUCCUCCAGGAAUACAGGACAGGAAAAAGGAUGAGGGAUGCAUAAACUACAGUUGAGGACGAUGUCAUCCUUUGCCCCAGGGGCUGUUGUGAAAAAUCUCCAGGUAGCUUCCCUGGGAAGUUAUGCCUGAUCUCUAGUUCUACAGAGACCCAGAGGAGUUUCCUCAGAGGACUCGAGUGCCCAAACUGCCACUGAAGACUGGUCUGCAACUCCCACAGCACAGGCCUCCGACUGGGACGGUGUUAGCUCUGACUGAUCCAAAGUCAUGUCCAUCAAAGAAAGAAAGCGAGAAAGGCAAAGCACUAUGAGCUGAGAAAUCAAUAAAGUUGGCUGGUUUUUCAUAAAACU